UGGCAACACUGUAGCGCAAGUUGUUGUAACAGCUGAUUUCCGACUUUUGAAAUUGAUUAUUAUAAUUUGAAUUUGUAUUGUUCAUUAUGUUAAUAGGAACUAAAGAAAUAGUUUAUUUUGGAAUGAAUAAAGUAAUUCCAGAAGUACCCUCAGAGAUAUUGAUGGAUGAAAAUGGAUGAAAAUAAGCUGUAAAGAAGAAGACAUCUACUUGCGCUUAAAGCAAUUGAAUGGCAAUUAUGAAAUACAAUUUGACCAAUCGUCGCAGUCAACGUCACAAUGGGAGGUAUUGUGUUUUCGGUCCACGUGACGGGCUCGUGGGUUUUUCGAUCGUGGCAUUCCUGAAUUAAAUUGGAAGAAGAUCGUCCGAGAGAUCGCCGGGAAAACUUUUCUGGAUAACAUAGAAGAAGUUUUUUGAUCAACAAAUCAUGGGAUGUGCCGCAUCGAAAUCGACUGCAGCGUCUAACGGUGGGUCGCAGGAACCAGUUCCUAAACCUGUAGCCUUUGAAAUUCCUAUGGAAGAAAAUGAAAGCGUGGUGAAGAAACAUCCGCCUAAACGGUUACAGAAAUUAGAAGAACAAGCUCAACAAAGUUCCAUUAAGAUAGCGGAUAUCGAAGAAAAACAGCAGAAAGCAGAAGAAAGGAGACAAGAAAUUUUACAAGAAAGAAUACGAAGUUCAAAGAAGGUUCAAAAAAUGUUUGAAAAAGGCCGAGAGAAAACUGAUGAGAUGGAACAGGUCAAUUUUGAUCUUAAACUAUUGACAUAGCGAUCGUAAAAUAACGGAGGAAGGAUGUAACUCAGGAGAAAACCCUGAAUGAUGUGUCCUGGUAAUUGGCACCUUUCUUUUCAAAACUCGUGGUGCUCGUUAACAUUACAUCGUCAGGUUUUACUAUGUUAAAAUCAUUGUAAACAUAAACUAACAUUCGGAACAACAACAACUUUUUAUGGUGCCUUAUGUUACCCUUAGGUUAUUGCUGCAAAUACGCUUUUAAUAAUCAUACAUGGAACAAUAUCAGCACCUAACUUCCAGUAUGGCACGGAUAUUUAUAACUUGUAAAUAAUAAAGAAGUUUAAACUUUUAAAAAAAAAUCUUUAGAAUUUAUUUUCCUUCAGUGAAAACUGACAUUCCGUGGAAAUUUCCUGCGGAUGCCCAUGCCUCUAGCUUGUUAAAAGUUACACGAUAAAUUGUCUUGAAAAUCGUUUCCAAAAAGUCCUUGUGUCCAAUCUCCAUGUAUUUUUCUUCAACUACAUUAACAAAAUUAGUACAUCUACACUUCUUUUGGGACGAAAAGGGUGCGAGGAACUUUUGACUCAUCCUGUAUAUACUGGUGUAACAAAGGUUUGCCUUGUAAGGAGGAUCCUGCUAAGCUCAGCAAUCUCUAGGCCAAUUGCAGAGAGACAACGUUUCUUGCUUGCCACAGUUUAGAUAAAAAUGGAUAUCGUUCCUAUGUAAUAAAACACGAAUGAUACACAGUAAAAUCUGUAAUUAUCAGAAAAUUGCCCAUUUCAAACCUAGAUAAACAUCUAAAAUUCAUUAUUAUGUAAUGUGAGUUUUUUUUUUUUUUCUUACUCCAAACAAAUUUCCAUCGUUUAACAUCUUACAACUCUCGUUUUGACUCAUCACACCAAAUAACAUGUUUUCAAAACUCCGAGGGCUUGUCCACAAAUAUUUUGCCAAAAGCUAAACCAUUUUCCUGAUUCACUGUUGAAAUCAUUGAUUUUCUAUGAGAUAUUCUGCCGGGAUAUCAUUUUUAUUUAAUAUUCUUUUAAUAGUUAAAACACUGGCUUGAAGAUCAAGAUUUUCUUUUAUUUUUUCUGCUGUUAUAAAGGGAUUUUGGUGAUUCCGUGGCAAAUCAUGGCAAUUUCUUUUGUUGUUCCCUUAGGGCGGUGUCUUUCUGUGGUAGAUUUCUCAAUGUAUUGUUGUUUAAAUACUGGACCACUAUUAUUUUUAUUCCAUCUCGUGAUAUUUUAUGCGUUCUUUGCAAUAAAAUCACCACUUUCUUGCUCGUGUACACUCUGCACUCUCUUCAAGAUCGAAGAUUAAAUUCUCUCUCCUUUGGCCUACUUUCUUAUUGAUACUAAAACACUAU